rnacentral:rRNA from 1 species
AUUGAACGCUGGCGGCAGGCCUAACACAUGCAAGUCGAGCGGAUGACGGGAGCUUGCUCCUUGAUUCAGCGGCGGACGGGUGAGUAAUGCCUAGGAAUCUGCCUGGUAGUGGGGGACAACGUUUCGAAAGGAACGCUAAUACCGCAUACGUCCUACGGGAGAAAGCAGGGGACCUUCGGGCCUUGCGCUAUCAGAUGAGCCUAGGUCGGAUUAGCUAGUAGGUGAGGUAAUGGCUCACCUAGGCGACGAUCCGUAACUGGUCUGAGAGGAUGAUCAGUCACACUGGAACUGAGACACGGUCCAGACUCCUACGGGAGGCAGCAGUGGGGGAUAUUGGACAAUGGGCGAAAGCCUGAUCCAGCCAUGCCGCGUGUGUGAAGAAGGUCUUCGGAUUGUAAAGCACUUUAAGUUGGGAGGAAGGGUUGUACGUUAAUACCGUGCAAUUUUGACGUUACCGACAGAAUAAGCACCGGCUAACUCUGUGCCAGCCGCCGCGGUAAGAC